CUGGCUCAGGAUGAACGCUAGCUACAGGCUUAACACAUGCAAGUCGAGGGGCAGCAUGGGAUUAGCUGCUAAUCCUGAUGGCGACCGGCGCACGGGUGAGUAACGCGUAUCCAACCUUCCCCUUACUCAGGGAUAGCCCGCUGAAAGGCGGAUUAACACCUGAUGGUUUCAUUAGAUGGCAUCUGACGAUGAAUAAAGUUUACGGUAAGGGAUGGGGAUGCGUCUGAUUAGCUUGUUGGCGGGGUAACGGCCCACCAAGGCAACGAUCAGUAGGGGUUCUGAGAGGAAGGUCCCCCACAUUGGAACUGAGACACGGUCCAAACUCCUACGGGAGGCAGCAGUGAGGAAUAUUGGUCAAUGGGCGAGAGCCUGAACCAGCCAAGUAAGCGUGCAGGAUGACGGCCCUAUGGGUUGUAAACUGCUUUUGUACGGGAAUAAAGUGACCUACGUGUAGGUUUUUGCAUGUACCGUAAGAAUAAGGACCGGCUAAUUCCGUGCCAGCCGCGGC
rnacentral:rRNA from 1 species